UGGUCCGUAGCUCAAUUGGUCAGAGCAGCUGACUUUUAAUCAGCGGGUUCCGGGUUCGACCCCCGGCGGGCCUA
rnacentral:tRNA from 1 species